rnacentral:rRNA from 1 species
GACGAACGCUGGCGGCGUGCUUAACACAUGCAAGUCGAACGGGCCCGCUCUCUUUUUUGGGGGUGGGUUGAGUGGCGAACGGGUGAGUAUCACGUGAGUAACCUGCCCCCUGCUCCUGGAUAACUGCUUGAAAGGGCGGCUAAUACGGGGUGUGCCGGCUGGUCCGCAUGGGCCUGGUCGGGAUUGUUUCAUCUUCGGGUGGUUCGGUGGGGGAUGGGCUCGCGGCCUAUCAGCUUGUUGGUGGGGUGAUGGCCCACCAAGGCGGUGACGGGUAGCCGGCCUGAGAGGGUGGGCGGCCACACGGGGACUGAGACACGGCCCAGACUACUGCGGGAGGCAGCAGUGGGGGGUAUUGCACAAUGGGCGGAAGCCUGAUGCAGCGACGUCGCGUGAGGGAUGGAGGCCUUCGGGUUGUGAACCUCUUUCUCCGGUGGUGAAGGCCCUGUCCGUUGCGGCGGGGUUGACGGUAGCCGGGUAUGAAGCGCCGGCUAACUACGUG